rnacentral:rRNA from 1 species
UGGGGAAUAUUGGACAAUGGGCGCAAGCCUGAUCCAGCCAUGCCGCGUGAGUGACGAAGGUCUUCGGAUUGUAAAGCUCUUUUUGGCGGGGACGAUAAUGACGGUACCCGCAGAAUAAGCCCCGGCUAACUUCGUGCCAGCAGCCGCGGUAAUACGAAGGGGGCUAGCGUUGUUCGGAAUUACUGGGCGUAAAGCGCACGUAGGCGGAUUUGUAAGUCAGGGGUGAAAUCCCGGGGCUCAACCUCGGAACUGCCUCUGAUACUGCGGAUCUCGAGUCCGGAAGAGGUGAGUGGAAUUCCUAGUGUAGAGGUGAAAUUCGUAGAUAUUAGGAAGAACACCAGUGGCGAAGGCGGCUCACUGGUCCGGUACUGACGCUGAGGUGCGAAAGCGUGGGGAGCAAACAGGAUUAGAUACCCCAGUAGUCCCUGAGCGGGCUGGCAAGGCGCAU